rnacentral:rRNA from 1 species
UACGUAGGUGACCAGCGUUGUCCGGAUUUACUGGGCGUAAAGAGCGCGCAGGCGGUCGUUCAAGUCGAGUGUGAAAGCCCCCGGCUCAACUGGGGAGGGUCACUCGAUACUGAUCGACUUGAAGGCAGGAGAGGGAAGCGGAAUUCCCGGUGUAGUGGUGAAAUGCGUAGAUAUCGGGAGGAACACCAGUGGCGAAGGCGGCUUCCUGGCCUGUUCUUGACGCUGAGGCGCGAAGGCCAGGGGAGCAAACGGG